rnacentral:rRNA from 1 species
CAGGAUGAACGCUAGCUACAGGCUUAACACAUGCAAGUCGAGGGGCAGCAUGAUCUAAGCUUGCUUAGAUUGAUGGCGACCGGCGCACGGGUGAGUAACGCGUAUCCAACCUUCCCUAUAGUAGAGGAUAGCCCGGCGAAAGUCGGAUUAAUACUCUAUGUUUUCCAAUGCAGACAUCUAAGUUGGAACAAAGGUUCACCGCUAUAGGAUGGGGAUGCGUCUGAUUAGAAAUAGUAGGCGGGGUAACGGCCCACCUAGUCGACGAUCAGUAGGGGUUCUGAGAGGAAGGUCCCCCACAUUGGAACUGAGACACGGUCCAAACUCCUACGGGAGGCAGCAGUGAGGAAUAUUGGUCAAUGGGCGAGAGCCUGAACCAGCCAAAAGUAGCGUGCAGGAUGACGGCCCUAUGGGUUGUAAACUGCUUUUAUCGGGGGAUAAAGUGAGGGACGUGUCCCUUAUUGUAGGUACCCGAUGAAUAAGGACCGGCUAAUUCCGUGCCAGCCGCCGC